GGCUUGUGGUUUAGUGGUAUAAUUUUCCCUUAGCAUGCCUGCAUGUCCAAAUUCGGCCAUCAGCAACGGAGGUGCGUGGGAAAGGUCCUGGGUUCGAGUCUCUUCCCUGUCCAAGUCA